GAGUUUGAUCCUGGCUCAGAUUGAACGCUGGCGGCAUGCCUUACACAUGCAAGUCGAACGGCAGCACGGGAGCUUGCUCCUGGUGGCGAGUGGCGAACGGGUGAGUAAUGCAUCGGAACGUAUCCUGGAGUGGGGGAUAACGUAGCGAAAGUUACGCUAAUACCGCAUAUUCUGUGAGCAGGAAAGCGGGGGACCUUCGGGCCUCGCGCUCUUGGAGCGGCCGAUGUCGGAUUAGCUAGUUGGUGAGGUAAAGGCUCACCAAGGCGACGAUCCGUAGCAGGUCUGAGAGGAUGAUCUGCCACACUGGAACUGAGACACGGUCCAGACUCCUACGGGAGGCAGCAGUGGGGAAUUUUGGACAAUGGGGGCAACCUUGAUCCAGCCAUGCCGCGUGAGUGAAGAAGGCC
rnacentral:rRNA from 1 species